UACAGAGGGUGCGAGCGUUGUUCGGAAUUAUUGGGCGUAAAGGGCGCGUAGGCGGUGCGGUAAGUCACCUGUGAAAUCUCCUGGCUCAACUGGGAGCUUGCAGGCGAAACUGCCGUGCUGGAGUGUGGGAGAGGUGCGUGGAAUUCCCGGUGUAGCGGUGAAAUGCGUAGAUAUUCGGAAGAACACCAGUGGCGAAGGCGACUCACUGGCCCAUUACUGACGCUGAGGCGCGAAAGCGUGGGGAGCAAACAGG
rnacentral:rRNA from 1 species